CGAGACUUUAGAGAACACUAUCUCGCUUUAGUUUCUGUUGCUUAUCACCAGUUAACAAUACAUCAGCUGACGUAUUGUUACUUCAUAUUACUGAGCAAUUUACUAAAGUUAAAAUCAAAUCAAAGGUGGGCAUUUCUUUGUUGAAGACAAAAGUGAAUAAUAAACAGAGUUACGAGGAAGAUGAUAACAUUAUCAUUUACAAUACUGUUGCUGUCUUUACUUAUCACUACACAAGCAUCAAGAGGCUCUCCCAAAUGCUUCAGACAACCGUGCGUUGGCCCAAUUUUCGAAAGCAGCAAUUGUUGCCCAAGACAUAUAUGUGUAUCUCCAGUACAGAUAAGCAGUGCUCGAUAUCCUGUCUGUGUUUACUGGCCUUUUAAAAUGUGAUAGUAAUAUAUUGACACUAUUGCAUUGCUUGUAUUACAUAUCCUGAUAGUUUUGUAUUAAAAUUGUGUGCCAUAUAUAAUAAUAUGUUGCAUAAGAUUCUUAUUUGUGAUGACUUUUUUUAAGUACACGGAAUGGUAUGGUAUAUAAUUCAUUAAAAUCAUGUGUUUUGUUGGCUAAUUAUCUAUAAUUUAAUUAAUAUAUUCGAGUAAGUCUAACUAUACGUGACUUUCGCUAGGUACAUGUCAUAAGAUACAUAAUAAAAAAACUAACUAAAGUUAUGUAUAAUUGAGUAUUUUAUCAUUCAGUUAUAUUUGUAAUAUUCGUACAUGUGUGUAGUUUACUAAAAAUUAAAUACGUCAAUUACCGUACAUUAAUUUAUAAAAUUAAGAAUAUUUUAAAUUUAAGCUUGAACGUGGAUAAUAGCUCCCAGAAGAAAUGCUAGAAGAGUUUGGAUCGGAUUCUGAUGACGUCUAAUAUGAUUGUAUAGACUCACUAUAAUGAGCAAAAUAUUAAAACGAUCUUGUAAACCACUUUA